rnacentral:rRNA from 1 species
GAUGAACGCUGGCGGCGUGCCUAAUACAUGCAAGUCGAGCGAACAGAUCAGGAGCUUUCUCCUCCGACGUUAGCGGCGGACGGGUGAGUCACACGUGGAUAACCUACCUCUAAGACUGGGAUAACUUCGGGAAACCGGAGCUAAUACCGGAUAAUAUAUUGAACCUCAUGGUUCAAUCGUUAAAUACGGUUUUUCUGUCACUUAUAGAUGGAUCCGCGCCGCAUUAGCUAGUUGGUAAGGUAACGGCUUACCCAGGCAACGAUGCGUAGCCGACCUCAGAGGGUGAUCCGCCACACUGGAAGUGAGACAGAGUCCCGACACCUACGGGAGGAAGCAGCAGGGAAUCUUACGCGAGGGAGGAGAGGCGGACGGAGCAACGCCGCGGGAGGGAUGAUGGACUUCGGAUCGUAGAGCGAUGAUAUUAGGGAAGAUCAAAAGUGUAAGUACCUAUGCACGUAUUGACGGUACCGAAACAAUAAGCUCCGGCUAACUACGUG